rnacentral:ncRNA from 2 species
CCAGUUCUGGUGGAGGCCGGUCUUGCCGUAGUCUCCUCGUAGGCGACGGCAAGGGAGGAAGCCGGUGUGAAACCGGCGCGGUCCCGCCACUGUGACCGGGGAGCGAGCCCCACCGCAGGCCACUGCCCGGCGACGGGUGGGAAGGCCGGGGUGAGCGCGGAUCCGGGAGCCAGGAGACUCCUGCCGUCGCGUCACCCGCGAC